AAGGAUUCCAGUGGAAUGGAGAGUGAGCAUCUGCCCCUAAGCCCAGCAGAGUCAAGGUGGAUUGCGGUGACUUCUGUCACCGUCCUCAUCCCAGCUCCAAGGCUCACGACACCUGCCAACAGGAGCCAACAGGAGCCUGGCACACCAAGUCUGUCUACAACCCCCGGGGUCUCUUGCUGUCCUUAGGAUUGUUGGGAGUUGAGGUCUGUGAGUACUCAGAAGGAGGGCAAUCACCCCUCACCACAGCGCAAGAGUCGGUAACAGCGAAGCCAGAGGAAAGUCCAUCUGAUGGCAGAGAACUCAGCCUGGGAGAAAAUCAGAGUGCAUUACUAAGAAACAUAGUUCCAGGAUUAGCGGCGAUUCAGAGCCUUAACGUAGUCUUUUUACGUGAGCUGGAUCAAGCCCUUUGCCUCUUUGUCAUCUGAUGAACCACGGUCACAUUCUAAAAAGAACUAAUGUUUAAAAAAAAAUGCAAGUGAGGGCUGACAAGAUGGCUCAGCGGGUAAAGCCACUUGCUCGCAAGCCUUAGGACCGGAGUUCCAUCCCUGGGACCCACAUGGUGGAAAGAGAGAACAGAUUCCGACAUGUUGUCCUUUGACCUCCAUAUGAGCUGUGUGACACCAGUGUAAGAAAGAAAGAUGAAUAAAUGUGAUUUUUCUACAA
rnacentral:lncRNA from 1 species